CGGGGUAUAGCUCAGUGGAAGAGCAUUCGAAUGUUAAUCGAGAGGUCCCCGGUUCAAACCAGGGUGCCCCCU